rnacentral:rRNA from 1 species
UACGAAGGGUGCAAACGUUGCUCGGAAUUAUUGGGCGUAAAGCGCACGUAGACGGCUUUGUAAGUCGGAUGUGAAAUCCCUCGGCUUAACCAAGGAAGUGCAUCCGAAACUACAGAGCUUGAGUACUUAAGAGGAUCGCGGAAUUCCCGGUGUAGAGGUGAAAUUCGUAGAUAUUCGGAAGAACACCAGUGGCGAAGGCGACUGACUGGACAAGUAUUGACGCUGAGGUGCGAAAGCGUGGGGAGCAAACAGG